CCACCUUUAGUGUAAUGGAUAUCACGUAAGAUUCCGGUUCUUGAGAUGGGAGUUCGAUUCUCUCAAGGUGGA
rfam:Streptococcus parauberis NCFD 2020 Noncontiguous_Finished_Chromosome chromosome, whole genome shotgun sequence.